CCCCAGGACAAGUGGAACCUGAACUCCCUGAGCUAGCCCCACCACCCUGACUUCAUGCUCUCUGCCUGCAGAUUUUGGACUCUUCUUUAAGCUCAAAACGAGAGGUAAGGCUCUUUCCUGGUGUGUUCUGUACUGGACUGCUUCAUUGGCGAAGACUUUUAAAGACCCCCCCAGUGGCUGAGCCAAUUUGCCACCACCAGCCUACCCCACUCUUUCUGCGUGCUGUGGCCAUCCCUGCCUCCCGGAUUGCCUGGUCCCAGGACGUGUGUGCAGCCUUCCUCCAGCUCCUCGAACAGGACCUUGUUGUCUAAAAACUGGAUCAGGCACUGGCUUGACAGAACCUUAUUAAGUGGAAGGCAGCUGUGACUUUACAGUUGGGCCUCUAAAAGGGAGGAAAGUGCACAGAGCAUGACCUGGAAACAGCACUUGUAUGGGACACAGAGAAACACUCUUCCUCCAAGAGCACGUGGUCUGCUCUCUCCGUGGAACCUUCCUGUGAUACUUAAUUGCCGUAUUUUUGGCUGUUUGUGUAGAAUUAAAAGGUGGUGUAAGGUGUUAUGCAUUGGUAGUGCUGCACAGUUUUGGGCAGACUGAGCAGAAAGAUCUUGGCUUCCAGCUGUGAGCCUGCAGAAGGAUGGAGGAAAUGCUGGGGAACAUGGAAAACUACCAAGCUCUGAAAAAUAAGAAAGCAAACCUGAUUUAAUGAGACCUUGGCCAAUAUGAGGAACAGAGGUUGCAUGUUAAUCAGAGAAACUUGAAGAGACUGAUAACAGUGGUUACCUCUGAGUGUAGAGCGAAGACUGGAUCCCUUGUGUUAAACACUUGAGUGCCUGGAGCUGAUGUGAGGAGUAGCACCAAGUGGGAGCCUGAGUCUCCUCUUGCUGGCUGGAGCCGUGUGUUUGGCCAGUGUUUCUCAACCCUGGCUUUGCCCCUUGGCAGUGUUUGGGGUUCUUAGCUCAGUUGAUAAUAACUGGGUAUAUCAGGACCUAUUUGUUGGAUAUCUGUGCAUCCUGAUGAGGAAGAGAGGCAGAUGGCAGGUUUAGGAGUUUGAGCUGCAAUUCAUCACCCUCCUUUCAGAUGGUGAGUGGGGUAGAAGGAACCGAGUUCUUGGAACCAGGAUAUACCCUGGGCAGCACAAGGGCAUGCUGUUGGAGGCUCAAGGCCCCUCCAUGCUGGCAAAAUGUGGAAAACAAUUACUUUCUU